CCCAGACAGCCAGGAUGUUGGCUUAGAAGCAGCCAUCAUUUAAAGAAAGCGUAAUAGCUCACUGGUCGAGUCGGCCUGCGCGGAAGAUGUAACGGGGCUAAACCAUGCACCGAAGCUGCGGCAGCGAACGUAUCACUUAAAGCGAUUCAGCGGRUKACGAUUGACGGAGCGAAGCGACGUCAAAGCGUAUACAAAGUCGAGUCGGUUUAAGGAUACGUUCGUUGGGUAGGGGAGCGUUCUGUAAGCCUGYGAAGGUGKSYYGUGAGGSWUGCUGGAGGUAUCAGAAGUGCGAAUGCUGACAUAAGUAACGAUAAAGCGGGUGAAAAGCCCGCUCGCCGGAAGACCAAGGGUUCCUGUCCAACGUUAAUCGGGGCAGGGUGAGUCGACCCCUAAGGCGAGGCCGAAAGGCGUAGUCGAUGGGAAACGGGUUAAUAUUCCCGUACUUGGUGUUACUGCGAAGGGGGGACGGAGAAGGCUAUGUUGGCCGGGCGACGGUUGUCCCGGUUUAAGCGUGUAGG
rnacentral:rRNA from 1 species